GACGAACGCUGGCGGCGUGCUUAACACAUGCGAGUCGAACGAAGAGCGAUGGAAGCUUGCUUCUAUCAAUCUUAGUGGCGAACGGGUGAGUAACGCGUAAUCAACCUGCCCUUCAGAGGGGGACAACAGUUGGAAACGACUGCUAAUACCGCAUACGAUCUAAUCUUGGCAUCGAGGAUAGAUGAAAGGUGGCCUCUACAUGUAAGCUAUCGCUGAAGGAGGGGAUUGCGUCUGAUUAGCUAGUUGGAGGGGUAACGGCCCACCAAGGCGAUGAUCAGUAGCCGGUCUGAGAGGAUGAACGGCCACAUUGGGACUGAGACACGGCCCAGACUCCUACGGGAGGCAGCAGUGGGGAAUCUUCCGCAAUGGACGAAGGUCUGACGGAGAAACGCCGCGUGAGUGAUGACGGCCUUCGGGUUGUAAAGCUCUGUUAAUCGGGACGAAAGGCCUUCUUGCGAAUAGUGAGAAGGAUUGACGGUACCGGAAUAGAAAGCCACGGCUAACUACGUG
rnacentral:rRNA from 1 species